CGUAGGUGGCAAGCGUUGUCCGGAUUUACUGGGUGUAAAGGGCGUGCAGCCGGGUCUGCAAGUCAGAUGUGAAAUCCAUGGGCUCAACCCAUGAACUGCAUUUGAAACUGUAGAUCUUGAGUGUCGGAGGGCAAUCGGAAUUCCUAGUGUAGCGGUGAAAUGCGUAGAUAUUAGGAGGAACACCAGUGGCGAAGGCGGAUUGCUGGACGAUAACUGACGGUGAGGCGCGAAAGUGUGGGAGCAAACAGGAUU
rnacentral:rRNA from 1 species